AACGAACGCUGGCGGCAUGCCUAACACAUGCAAGUCGAACGAGACCUUCGGGUCUAGUGGCGCACGGGUGCGUAACGCGUGGGAACCUGCCCUUAGGUUCGGAAUAACUCCCCGAAAGGGGUGCUAAUACCGGAUAAUGUCUUCGGACCAACGAUUUAUCGCCUUUGGUUGGGCCCGCGUUGGAUUAGCUAGUUGGUAGGGUAAAAGCCUACCAAGGCGACGAUCCAUAGCUGGUCUGAGAGGAUGAUCCGCCACACUGGGACUGAGACACGGCCCAGACUCCUACGGGAGGCAGCAGUGGGGAAUAUUGGACAACGGGCGAAAGCCUGAUCCAGCAAUGCCGCGUGAGUGAUGAAGGCCUUAGGGUUGUAAAGCUCUUUUACCCGGGAUGAUAAUGACAGUACCGGGAGAAUAAGCUCCGGCUAACUCCGUG
rnacentral:rRNA from 1 species